CGCGGCGCAGCCCAGGGGAGGCACCGCCUGGGAGCCAGGGCCUCGCGCACCCGGUUAGUAAAGGAUGCUUCCUCUAGUCUUCCAGGUUGCUGGAAUGUCAGGUUAUGUAAAAAUAGCACAAUUUCAAAACUGAGGAAACCAGUCAAACAGAGAAGAUGGUGGCCAGCUUUUCACCGGGAGAUGAGCUCCUUCCUGGAGGGGCACAGGGGGACAAGGCACACAAGACUUGGAGUUUCAGCUUGACUCUGCCACCUGGAGCUGCACAGGAUGGAGUUGAGAGGAACAUGUUGUAUUUUUGUGAAGACAAAGCUGUGAUAUUUUAAUAAGGCCAAUUUUUGGUGAAAUUAUUGUAGUUUCC
rnacentral:lncRNA from 1 species